CGGGGUGAGUAAUGUCUGGGAAACUGCCUGAUGGAGGGGGAUAACUACUGGAAACGGCAGCUAAUACCGCAUAACGUCGCAAGACCAAAGAGGGGGACCUUCGGGCCUCUUGCCAUCGGAUGUGCCCAGAUGGGAUUAGCUAGUAGGUGGGGUAACGGCUCACCUAGGCGACGAUCCCUAGCUGGUCUGAGAGGAUGCCAGCCACACUGGAACUGAGACACGGUCCAG
rnacentral:rRNA from 1 species